GCCGCCUACCGGAUUUAAUUGCUCUUUCGAUUCGGAGCCACCCCCCCUCCCUUUAAAUCUGGAGAACGCCGAAAAAUGUGUACUACGCCGCAGUCAUAAAUACUUGUUGAACUUGUUUAAAUUAUGUUUCUCACUGUCGUAUAAAAUGUAGGUGUGUGUAUGUAAUAUUAUGUCUAAGUGGUACAUUCGGCUUGCCCGAAUGGAUAACGGAGAUUUUGCUGGAUCGCGUUUUUCAUUUCGUUGGACCACAGCAAUACGUCACCGCACUUUUGAAUGUCGGUACGCGUAUCGCGAUAAAUCGAUUGUAAUCGGAAUACCGAAAAAACAUACGACUCGAACCCCGUCAUUCACGGACCGAUAACGAACCACGAUUAUGAUAAAAUGUAGUAGACAAUAAAAUCUAAAAAAAAUACAAAUACAUCGCGCUACAUACGAAUAACCGUGUUUUAACGGGCUACAAAAAAAAAACACCCUCGUCGAGGCUAUUAACUUAAUUUGUUCGUAAAAGUUCCUACGGACCUACGGAUCGCCC